rnacentral:rRNA from 1 species
CAGGGAAUCUUCCGCAAUGGACGCAAGUCUGACGGAGCAACGACGCGUGAGUGAAGAAGGCUUUCGGUUCGUAAAACUCUGUUGUUAGAGAAGAACAGCGCAUAGAGUAACUGUUAUGCGUGUGACGGUAUCUAACCAGAAAGCCACGGCUAACUACGUGCCAGCAGCCGCGGUAAUACGUAGGUGGCAAGCGUUGUACGGAUAUAUUGUGCGUAAAGCGCGCGCAGGCGGUGAAUUAAGUGUGAUGUGAAAACCCCCGGCUCAACCGGGGCGGAUCAUUUGAAACUGGUUUACGUGAGUGCAGAAGAGGGGGGUAGAAUUCCAUGUGUAGCGGAAAAAUGCGUAGAUAUAUGGAGGAACACCAGUGGAGAAGGCGACUCUCUGGUCUGUAACUGACGCUGAGGCUAGAAAGCGUGGGUAGCAAACAGG